UCUCCGAGACCCCACAAACCGCCUAAACAUCCCGUCAAACCGCCUAAACCACCAGCAGCCAAACCACCAAAACCACCGGCAGUAAAACCUCCUAAACCCCCCACCAAACCUCCCACCCUUAAACCACACCCCCACCCUAAACCUCCCACCGUUAGACCACAUCCACACCCUAAGCCCCCUACCAAACCUCAUCCCAUCCCAAAACCGCCCACCGUUAAACCACCACCCUCCACACCCAAACCGCCCACAAAACCACCCACCGUUAAACCACCUCCAUCCACCCCUAAGCCGCCCACCAAACCACCCACCGUCAAACCACCACCCUCCACCCCAAAACCGCCCACCAAGCCACCCACCGUCAAACCACCUCCGUCCACCCCUAAACCACCUACCCACAAGCCACCAACAGUGUGCCCACCGCCAACACCAACACCAACCCCACCUGUUGUAACGCCACCAACACCACCAACACCAACUCCACCAGUCGUUACGCCACCAACACCAGCCCCACCUGUUGUAACGCCACCAACACCAACACCACCGGUCGUAACGCCACCGACACCAACCCCUCCUGUCGUAACACCUCCAACACCACCGGUCGUAACGCCACCGACACCAACUCCUCCUGUCGUAACACCACCAACACCACCGGUCGUAACGCCACCGACACCAACCCCUCCUGUCGUAACACCUCCAACACCACCGGUCGUAACGCCACCGACACCAACCCCUCCUGUCGUAACACCACCAACACCAACUCCACCUAAGCCAGAAACGUGCCCAAUCGACACGUUGAAGCUAGGCGCUUGUGUAGACGUUCUUGGAGGUUUAAUUCACAUCGGGCUUGGUGGAAGUAGCGCCAAGAAAGAGUGUUGUCCGGUUUUGGGAGG
rnacentral:lncRNA from 1 species